rnacentral:rRNA from 1 species
GACGAACGCUGGCGGCGUGCUUAACACAUGCAAGUGGAGCGACGAACCAGGCUUCGGCCUGGGGCAGAGCCGCGAACGGGUGAGUAACACGUGGGUAACCUGCCCUGAUGAUUGGGACAACCCGAGGAAACUCGGGCUAAUACCAAAUGUGCCCUCCGGCCGUAAGGCCUGUGGGGAAAGGAAGCUUCGGCCUCCGCAUCGGGAUGGGCCCGCGGCCCAUUAGCUUGUUGGUGAGGUAACGGCUCACCAAGGCUACGAUGGGUAGCUGGUCUGAGAGGACGAUCAGCCACACUGGGACUGAGACACGGCCCAGACUCCUACGGGAGGCAGCAGUGGGGAAUCUUGCGCAAUGCGCGAAAGCGUGACGCAGCAACGCCGCGUGGGGGAAGAAGGCU